UACGGAGGGUGCAAGCGUUAUCCGGAUUCACUGGGUUUAAAGGGUGCGUAGGUGGGUCUGUAAGUCAGUGGUGAAAUCUCCAAGCUUAACUUGGAAACUGCCAUUGAUACUAUAGGUCUUGAAUAUCCUGGAGGUGAGCGGAAUAUGUCAUGUAGCGGUGAAAUGCUUAGAUAUGACAUAGAACACCAAUUGCGAAGGCAGCUCACUACGGGAUUAUUGACACUGAGGCACGAAAGCGUGGGGAUCAAACAGG
rnacentral:rRNA from 1 species